AACGAACGCUGGCGGCGCGUCUUAAGCAUGCAAGUCGAACUGCACGAGAGGAUCUUGCUUCUAUCCUAGAGUGACGGGUUGAUAAGGAACACGUCGGUUAUCUACCCCUAAGAUGGAGAUAGCUGCUAGACAUAGCAGGUAAUACCAAAUACACUCGGCAUAUUACAAGCGGUGUUGACGAAAGGAAGCUACGGCUUCGCUUGAGGAUGAGCUUGCGUUCCAUUAGCUCGAUGGUGAGGUAAAGUCCCACCCAGGCGACGAUGGGUAUCCGGCCUGAGAGGGUGAACGGACACAUUGGGACUGAGAUACGGCCCAAACUCAUACGGGAGGCGGCCGCUAAGAAUAUUGCGCAAAGAGUGGAAGUCUGACGGAGCGACGCCGCGUGGAUGAAGAAGGCUGAAAAGUUGUAAGAUCCUUUUGUUGAUGAAGAAUAAGGGUGAGAGGGAAUGCUCAUCUGAUGACGGUAAUAGACGAAUAAGCCCCGGCUAAUUACGUG
rnacentral:rRNA from 1 species